ACUGACCUAGAGGAUGUUGCAGUUUAUUCUGUUUUAUUUUGUUUAUUUGUGGCGGACCCUGCCACCUGUCUGGUCUCUGAUCGGUGUCUCCUCUGUUUCCACAGAUCACCACUGCGGUCAGCUGUGCUUUCUUGAUCGUUAAAGUCAUUUUAUCAAAGCUGCUCUCUCAGGGGGCGUUCGGGUACCUGCUGCCCAUCAUCUCCUUCGUGUUGGCCUGGAUAGAAACGUGGCUGCUCGACUUCAAGGUUCUGCCUCAGGAGGCCGAAGACGAAAACAGAUAUCUGUCCAUCAUGGACGCCACAGAGCGAGCGCCUCUCAUGUAUCCGGGUCCAGUAUCUGACGGACAGUUCUACUCUCCUCCAGAGUCUGUGGCAGACUCUGAUGAGGAGCUGGAUGAUAAACACGAUCCAGAAAAAGGGCUCAUACAGCAGCUGACCUAACAGGAUCUUGUGAAGAUGAAGCGUUUCUCCUUCCUGUCGUGCCGCUGAGGGAAACUUCUGCCUUACACAUGCAGCCAGUUUGGUUUUUAUUUGUCUUUGUAUGUUCAAACCUUACGAAUGCACCUCAGUUUCUGAUAUCGGCCUCCUGCAUGUACACUGGAACUGGAAAAGUGCUGCUUAAAAAAGCCGUUUCUGUAUCGACACUUUGGAGAAUAUCUGUACACAAACUUGCACAUUUUGUCCGAGACUCCCAGACGCACGAGAAGAAUUCGAUCGAAUGAAAGAAAGUCAAAUAUUUGAAGGUCGAUUUCAGAAUCAGAAUUAAAAGUGUUGUGUUCCGGUGACAAAAGAAACUCUGUCUCUAACGUCAUGUUUACUUUUAAUUUGUUGUUGAUCAUUUUCACUGUAAGGGAAGAUAAGCUUUCUUCACUGACUCUGCUUUAAGAAAAGAAGGAUUUUUCGGCCAGUAUUGAGCUUACGGAUCACAUUUGUAGCAAACGAGAGGAAGAAUAUUUACAGUUUACUGCAUUUAUAACCGGGUUUGACUGCGUCUGGGUCUUAAACACAGUGAGAAAACUUGCACAGAACACUGGAACAACAUAAUAGGAUAAAAACUGAAGAAUAAAUCUGCUUCUGAAAAAGUGAAGUGUUAUUUAAUGUAAAAACAAGAUGAGCCGUGUGCCGGCAGUGAGACAGGCUGAGCUGCACUGUGUGAACUGUAAACAGCUGCUGGAGCUCGUGUGAGCUGAAACAAACAUGUACAUACCGGGACCUUCGUGCAUGCAAGCAGAGUGUUUUUGUUUUUAAGAAAAGCUUGUCUGUAAAACAGAAUCAUUAAAAUGUGAAAUCUUG